GCAUUCGCGUAUUCUUUCUCCGGAGCUCACGGGUUCCUGUCCAUGCGCGAUGCGAACCGGGAAUGGGGCCCGGAGCCCGCAGUAACCCGCGUAUCACGCCCGCCUGGGGCCCCCAGUGCUGCCGUCGCGGUCGGAGCGGAGGGGCCUCGGGUAUGCGUCUCCCAGUAUGGGCAGGCGUACAGGACAAUCCCCACUGGGGCCAGGAGACCCACCCGUAAACCAGAAGACUGAAGCUGCACUGCGGAUGCUGCUGAGAGGCCCUGGGAAUGCCUCACCUGUGGGUAUAUGGGCUGCUGCCCUGCAAUGUAGGGCUGCUGGGGUGGCAGGGAUGUGUCCUGGCUCGGGAGGGUGGUCAUGAGAUUCUGUUGUGAGAAAAAGCCAGAUGUCAAAGAGUAGCCCUGUGACCACACAGCCAGGGGGUGUUUCUGGCUUGCAACAAUCCAAAGGGGACAAGAAGAGCCCAGAGAGUUGAGGGGAGGACAGAAGGGGGGGGGGCCCACCAAGUGCCCGCUAGCCUCACCAAGACCCUCAGUGUCAACUCUGCUCCCCCACCCCAGCCCCUAGCAGAGCCUGGAGGUCACCGUACCUGCAUGUUGUAAGGCUGGUAGCCCAUGGAGACUGACUGGCUCCCCAUGUAGCCCAUAGUGCUGGACUGCGGAGGCUGAGAGAUGGCCGGGAGGCUCUGCGGGGCCUGGGAGGCCACGUUCUGUGGGUGGAAUGGGUGCCAUGGGAGAAGGGGCUGGGCUGGCCGUGGAGGUGGGGAGUGGCUUUGCCUGCAUACCUGGUAGCCCACUGUAGGAGUGGGCUGAUAGGAUGAGUAGGCAGGGCUGGCGGUAGGCCCAGCUUGGGCCUGGGGGGCCGCCUGCGCCCCAGUGGCCCCUGCUGGGUACAUGUAGGCGCUCACCAUGCUGGGAUCUGUGACAAACAAGACAGGUGAGAUGGUUCAGCCAGGGCAAUGUGGAAGGGAGGAAGGGACACCCUUCUCUUCAGUUUUCCUUUUUUGUUUUUUGAGACCAAAUCUCACUGUGUUGUGGAGACUGGAGUGCAGUGGUGCCAUUGGUCAAGGCGGGCGGAUCAUGAAGUCAGGAGUUCAAGACCAGCCUGUCCAACACAGUGAAACCCCGUCUUUACUAAAGAUACAAAAAUUAGUUGGGCAUGGUGGCACAUGCCUGUAAUCACAGCUAAUCGAGAGGCAAAGAGGUUGCAGUGAGCCAAGAUCACACUACUACACUCCAGCCUGGGCGACAGAGUGAGACUCCCAUCUCAAAAAAAAAAAAAAAAAAAAAAAGAAGAUAAACCAGCAAGGAUGGAGGAGAAUCCCAGAAUGGAAUGAAAUCAGAAGAAAGGAACCAAACUGUAUUUUAAAUGAGUGACAUGGUCUGACCGAUGGGAUGGGAGAGUGAAUCCCAAUAACUUCAGAACCCAGAAUCUGGACUCCACAGCCUCAGGCUGCAGAUGACAGGAAAUACAGACAAAUAUUACACUCGGGUUAGGAGGCAUCAUCUCCACAAUGGGCCAGGACAGCAUUCCUGAAACUACUUUUCAUGUAUUCUAGGGCUGAGCAAGUAAGUAUAUUGAAGACAAUGCCAAACAAAACUAUGCUAUUUAAUUAAAACUGCAAGUACUAGAAUGAAUUCAA